GCAUGAUGUAUUCCUCCUCCCUCCCAGAUUUGCGCUGAUCAGCUGUAUGGCGGCACAAGCCUAGAGGGAGGGGGUGGCCCCCAUCACUCACCCUGCGAACUGCUCCAAUCCAGCUUCUCCAGGAAGGCUCUGAUCCUGCAAGCUACUGGGUUUGAGGAGAUCCACACACCUAUGCGGAGCAGCUUGCAGGAUCAAACAUCCCUUUCGAUAGAGGAGGUUGAAGGACAGCUGCAGAAGAGGAAGCCCAAAGUGCAUUAGAUGUCAGACUACAUGGAAGACAAACUCUGUCGUUUGUCUGAAUGAGUUCAAACUCCCUUUCUUCUCAUUGCCAUGUGAGUCAGUUUCAGAAACGAAAGCAACUUUGAUUCAAAGCACCAAGACGCUCACAAGAAAAUGAAACUUUUCUCCCAAUAUCCAGUCAAUUGGUGCAAUGGAAAAGCUGUAAAAUGUUAAGAGUUAAAAGUAAACAACAAGUUGUGGACUAGAGAAAGAGACGGACUGACAGAGACUGAAAUGGCUUUUUGAUUGCAUAGCACUAAAUAAAGCGAACCCAGUAAACUUUCCUCCUGAAGAAACCAGAAACAUGUCUGUUAUAGCUCAUUUCCCUCCCUAUAUUUCUUGGCUGCAAACUAAGGAUUUGAUCCAAGAAUUACCAGUGACUUCAUUGAGAGAAGGAUCAGGUCCCAGAUGUUGUCCAUACGCUUGCAGCAGAGGGAAAAACCAAACAAAACAAAGGUCCUGAAAUUCUAUAUCUGAAACAAACCACAUAGUUAUAAAAUCAUAGUCAUUCAAUCACAGAAUUUUCUGUUUUGGUUUUGUUUUCUAAGCCAUAUUUAAAUGAGUGCCACAAUGCUAUCCCUGCAGACUGAAGAUCUCUCUGUAUUCAUGAACCCAUUAUGCAACAGCAGCAGGCCAAGCCUAGAGAUGUGAAGGGAGCUCAUCUUCCAGGCCUGUCUGCUGAGAUUGCCACAAAAAGAUCAGUUUCAGUGUGGCCAACCCCAGACAUUUGCAGGUCAUCAGUCAAUGCCCCCAAUAUCAGCUAUGGCUUGAAAACUGAUAAAUUUCAAUGAUAAAAUAAUAAAAAGAACCCAUUUAUUAUUAUUAUUAUUAUUAUUAUUAUUAUUAUUUAUUAAUUUGCCUUAUGGUUUUUGAACUGCAGGGUUCAUGUUUUCAAGCUUUUCCCCGUAAAUGAUGCUCACAAAGCACAACAGGAAAGAAAAAGAGGAGGAGCAGCUUAUGCUCACAUGUCUGAUUGCAUUGCAAGAAUGAUGCUACUGUCAUGUUACCAUUUAGGUCCAAACUGCUCCCACUGCAUAGCAGAAUGUUCCAUUUGCAAUGGAAUAUGUAAAGGGGACUGCAGCUGCUUUUUGUCUCUGGCUUUGUGCACCUACAGGCAUGACAUGCACUGAUUCCACAACUGCUGGUCAAGAUCUCAUGGUUGCACCAAUUGUUCCCACUGAGCAAAUGGUGUUCACACACACACA